CAGCCGCCGCGGUAAUACAGAGGGUGCAAGCGUUAAUCGGAAUUACUGGGCGUAAAGGGCGCGUAGGUGGUUGCGUAAGUGAGAUGUGAAAUCCCCGGGCUCAACCUGGGAACUGCAUUUGUGACUGGCAAGCUAGAGUAUGGCAGAGGGGGGUGGAAUUCCGCGUGUAGCAGUGAAAUGCGUAGAUAUGCGGAGGAACACCGAUGGCGAAGGCAGCCCCCUGGGCCAAUACUGACGCUCAUGCACGAAAGCGUGGGGAGCAAACAGGAUUAGAUACCCCCGUAGUCCCUGUCUCUUAUAC
rnacentral:rRNA from 1 species